CUAAAGCCACCCAACAAAUUAUACACGAAGUAAUCAAGACCCUCCGAUUAAGUCAACUUAAACACAUCCUACAGUCUAUAUUACGCUAAUGAUGUAUCAACCAGAUCGACGUCUCAGAUGAAAAGUUCUGCCCAGCAGACGUCGUGGUCUGCCAAUCCUCUUCACGCUUCGUGUCCCCCGCCCGCAACUCGCGGAUAGAUUCCGCCCGUCUCCAUCGUUCCCCACCCCUCCCUCCUGGCCUCCUCUCUCCUCCUCGCCGCCGCUACAGGAGGCCGCCGGGCGAAGCUCGACCUGCGUCGGCGGCGCCGGGUUCGCUCUCCCUCGAGCGGCGUCAGCGACGCGGGAUGCGGCAGGCUCGGCCUGCGUCGGCGGCGCCGGUGUCCCUCUCCUCCGUCGAGCGGUGGCGGCGUGAGGCGCAUCAGGAUCGACCUGCGUCGGCGGCGGCGGCGGCGGGAUCACUCUCCUCCGUCGAGUAGCGGCGGCAGUGCGGGACGCAGCGGGCGGCGCAUCGCGGUGAUUAUGUGGAGCUUGUGAAGGAAAAAGGCAAACCAACAAGCUUGGGCAAUCGUCUAUUGGCGACAACCUGGUAUAGAUGACCUACCUAUUGUUAAUUUUCCAACUCUCACUUUGUAGGUCUGCAAUUGUAUCUCCUGUACUAAACAAGAGAGCAUUUAAAUUUGACGCCUACAAAUUUGUGGCUUGCUGCAUAGGGGUUUUCCAUAUCUACAUUCUAAUAUUCUCCAUAUUUUUUUAUUAACGUUCAUAUCAAAUGUUUGUGGUAUGUAGGUUCAAUAGUUGACAAAACUGAAUCUCUCUUACCAGCUAUGACUUCAUGGUCAAUAUAUAUACAUGUGCAACAUCCAAAAAGAGAGAUGUCAUCAAACUUCUCAUUAACUUUUUCCGGUUCUACUUUCUCCUUUACUGUUGAAAGCAUAUGGAGUGCUAUCAAUCAAUAUGAACAACUUCCUGCCGCCUCUCUUCUGCUGGAUUGCUUUUUUUUCUGAAAAUAUUUGGUAACUCAAUAUUUUUCUCUUAAUUCAUGAGAUUAUAUAGUGCCAAGAUUUUACUGGUUUCAUCUUGCGUGUUUGUGCCAUCAUGAGUUUGUUCUUUCUGCGGGAAAUGGCUAUAUGACUUCAGAUCUUGAUAAUUAAUUUCGGAACUUCGAAAAUUCUGGAGAUGAAGAAUGUGUCAGUAACCUAAAACACAUAUUGAAGUAUCAUUCACCGAGUAGUGCUCAGAUGGUAACUUGGUGAGUUAUACUGCAUAUCAGUGCAAUCACAUUUCUGUACUUUCCCUCCAAUAUGGAGGUACGUACAAGGCUGUAAAUAUUAGUAGCACAUCUUCUCACAUAAGUUACCAAAGUCAUGUCCUUCUAUUUUUACCCUUCUCAUGCUCAUAGAGCUUGGAAAAGGGUUGCUAGCUUUGGUAGCUUGAUUUUGGUCCGGGGGUACAGAUUUACCGUGGGAACGAGGAACAACAAUGCUACGUAAAUUAGAAAACAUGUAUUCUUCUAUGAACUAUAUAAUAAUUCUGAGCCUGUAUGCAUAUCAGUUUUGAGAUUCCAGUUUCUACUAUCGUGGAUGCUACCAGUUACAGUUGACAAGAAUUUAUUAUACCUUUUUAGGAUGUAAAUUCGAAACCCGUAAUUUGCAUUCCUGAUCUUUUUAAUUAUUCUUGUUGUGAUGAACAUUUUAAGGGUGUCAGUGUUGAUAUGUGCCAUAAAACUCGCAGGUUUCUUUUAAGCUCUUUCAUUAAUGAUGUUUGCUCCUCCUUUGUACUUCUAAUUAUUAUGGCAGGAAGUCUCACUACUACACAAUUCAUGCCUCUGCCAAAUAUUCUAAUCAUUUGUAUUUUUGAAGUUGUAGAUGAUUAGAUUUUCAGCUAAUUUUCUGUUGUAGCAUACACAUUGUGGCAAGCUAACACUGAAAAAGUAGAAAUUGGACGCCUCAAGUUCCUGAAGUUUUCAUGGCAAAAAAGAGAAAAUACUAGACUUAAUGAGCGCGGACAAUGGAAUUCUUGAUUUUUAUGCGUGCCAUUCAAAAGAUGUGACAUAUUUGUAAGCCUUGGAGCUUGUACAUUGGCAUGAGACCACAUUCAAGACCAGAGUUAGUUUUUUUAGGGAACGAUCAGAGAGUUAGUGAGGAUGAGGGAACCUGCUUUUGUUAGAGUUGUUCAUGGAUGAUGGGAGAUGCGGUUUUGGGCCUCCCAUAUGUUUGUUUGCGCCUGAAUAUGAGUGUACUUCCUUCAAGACGUAAUACAAAAAAUACUUGUUUUUGCAAUGUAAUGUGGAUAUACAUGAUUCUAUUGGGGUGUGCAUACUUAAGGAUAUCAUGAAUGGAAUAUUGUACUUUUUUGCGAUGAAAUGAAACAUUGUACUUGUAUAAUCAAUUUUGUCCACAUGAAUAUAAUUUUAUCUGAUGCUUCAGAUGAUUACAGCUCAUUCAGGCUAUUAGAUUUUUGGAUGCCCAAUCAUUUGUUACAACAAUUAGAUGUUUUCUAUGCAUUGCAAUAUGCAACUAGGAAGGUUUGUAAAUCUUAUCAAAGUAUUUUCUAGAAAUUUACAUGUGAUGUUUUUUGUUGGCUCAUAUGAAUGUAUUUUUUUCUAUUGUGCUAUGGUGCGUUGCACGUGCACACCUACUAGUACUACAAAAUAGCCCUGUCCUACCCCCAAACCACGUUCCCCACCUCUUCCCACUCUCCCCGAUUCCCAGCCGCAGCCAUCCCCUCCGCUGUGCGCCUCCCCCUUCCUCCCAACGACCGGCGCACCUCCCCACGGCUGGGUCCAGGUCGGCUCCCACGCGCCGCCGCUGCCAUCUUCCCCGGUGCGCCACGCCCACUCCCCAGAUUCCUCCGCCGCUGCCUCCCGCCCCUGGACCACGGCCCGGCGCGCUUCCGCCGCCGCCUACCCGGCCCAGACGCGUAUCUGUCGCCGCCCAUCCCUGCCCCGAUGCGCAUCCGCCGCCGCCCAUCCCUGCCCCGAUGCGCCUCCACCACCGCCCACCCCGGCCCCGACGCACCUCCAUCCCCCGUCCCCCGGUCUUCACGCGCCUCCACCUGCCUUCCCUUUGAUGCGUCGCGACGGCGACGGCCACCACCCUCCUCGCCCCCACCACUCCGCGUGGUUCACCUCCACCAACCCAAAAAUCGCCCUGCCUCUCGACACCUGCACGCAGAGACGCUGCCCCCGCUGCCGAACCCCUGCCUCCGCUUGGCUCUGUCCUCUGCAGCACACCACGUCUCCCCCGCCGUCCACCUGCCUUGUUCAUGUCCCCAGGUGACCUUGUGUCCAAACGCGUACUGACCUUCCUCCUCCUCCUGCUUCCUCCUUCCCUCUUGGUUGAUUGAACUCUAUCACAUGGAGCAGUAGAAGCCCUCCACUGAUCCGUCCGGCGCUGUCACCUCUGCCCGAGCUCUUAGUGACGUGCCCGAGGCCAUAAUUUCCAGUCCAGAUCACCUACAGUGUUCUGGGUUUCAGAUAUUUGGUUCACGUCGGACGUCGACGGCGAUACGUGCAGAAAUCUUCUAGUAUCUCUUUUGCCUCCCCUUUUCCCUCUUCCAUUUUGUUGUUUGGAAAUCUCUGGUAGGCCUUUGAUUCAAAAAUACUUCGGCUAUUAUUUGUACGAUAUAUAUGCAUAGGAAUUUUGUUCUCCA